AACGAACGCUGGCGGCAGGCUUAACACAUGCAAGUCGAACGGGUGCAGCAAUGCAUCAGUGGCAGACGGGUGAGUAACACGUGGGAACCUUCCUAGGGGUACGGAACAACUCAGGGAAACUUGAGCUAAUACCGUAUACGUCCGUGAGGAGAAAGAUUUAUCGCCCUUAGACGGGCCCGCGUCGGAUUAGCUAGUUGGUGGGGUAACGGCCUACCAAGGCGACGAUCCGUAGCUGAUCUUAGAGGAUGAUCAGCCACACUGGGACUGAGACACGGCCCAGACUCCUACGGGAGGCAGCAGUGGGGAAUCUUGGACAAUGGGCGCAAGCCUGAUCCAGCCAUGCCGCGUGAGUGAAGAAGGUCUUCGGAUUGUAAAGCUCUUUUGCCAGGGACGAUAAUGACGGUACCUGGAGAAUAAGCCCCGGCAAACUUCGUGCCAGCAGCCGCGGUAACUCGUAGACGUA
rnacentral:rRNA from 1 species